UUGAGUACCUUUAUGGAUAUGGAAGAACAAGCUCUGUAUAUAUCCUUACAUUACAAGUCCUAUAUGUUCUGUUUGAUAGUUUCAUGUUCUUGGAUUUGAUUAGUGUUAUAUGGUGAUGGUUCUACUUAUUUGCACCUCUGUUGCUUGAUGAAAAUGUGUUUAAAUAUGUAUGAUUAGCUUUGGUGUUUCUGAUUAGUUGAUUUUGUUUUUUUGUCUAUUUGUUUUGGAGAACAGCUUUACUGAUUGGUGUCAUUGUUCUUAGAAAAAUAAAUGUAAGUUCAGAAGCUAAAGAUGGGAACUCUCCUCGGAAACCUCAACCUAAUGAACCCCAGCAAGAAUCUAAACUGGAACUGUUUGGAUAUGAUUCCAUUGUCAAUAUUCUUGGUCUCAAAAGAAAUGAGCGUGCUUCAACAACUGAAGUUGGCAGAGAUCUUCUUGAGUCUAGCUCACAUGACAAUUUAGAAAGCCCGAGGACUGACCGUUUUUAUGCUUAUAUAUCUGAUGCAAAAUGUCGAGCAGUUGUAAGCUUUUAUUGAUUCAGGAGCUUCGGAAGCAGGUUUUCUUUUAUCACGUUAUGUUCAAGAUUUGCAGAGUAAAUUGUUGGUUGAAGAUUGACACAAAACUCAGUCUCAAAAGUUGCUUAUGGAACCUGUUGAGUCAGGUUUUUCUCUUCAUUCCUCUUUGUCUUGACAUCAAUAUGUUCUAUUGUUCUAUUUAUUUUACAUGCUUUGAGUCUUUGAGUUGUUAGUAGUACAUAUACUAAAACAACAUAAA